GUGCUUGCUUCGGCAGCACAGAUACUAAAAUUGGAACAACACAGAAAAGAUUAGCAUGGCCCCUGAGCAAAGAUGACAUGCAAAUUUGUGAAAUGUUUCAUAUUCUU
ensembl:snRNA U6 U6 spliceosomal RNA